rnacentral:misc_RNA from 1 species
UCCGGUUUGUUUCCGGCAGUCUCUCUAGAUUUGCAACUAGAAAUAAGGGUUGCGCUCGUUGAGGGACUUAACCCAACAUCUCACGACACGAGCUGACGACAGCCAUGCAACAUCUGUGUAUCCGUCCGAAGAGGGCCUCUUUUCGGAGGCUUGCGAAUACAUGUCAAACCCAGGUAAGGUUCUUCGCGUUGCAUCGAAUUAAACCACACGCUCCGCUGCUUGUGCGGGGACCCGUCAAUUCCUUUGAGUUUUAGUCUUGCGACCGUACUCCCCAGGCGGGCCACUUAAUGCGUUAGCUUCGGCACGGAAGGGGUCAACACCCCCCACACCUAGUGGCCAUCGUUUACUGCUAGGACUAC